rnacentral:lncRNA from 1 species
CUCACCUGUUGCCAAAGGCCAUUUGGAUAGCAACAGGAAGCAGCCAAAUGCCUAGGCAGAUAGGGGUGGGUCCCCUGUGAAACACCACCUUCAAACCAAAAAAACAGCCUGAAGGCAGAAAGAAUGGACUACUGGUCCCAGAUGAAACCCACGACACAGAAUGAGAACUUCUGUUCCUGUUUGCCUGCCCUUCUCCUAUUCUGAGCCCAUAAAAGCCCUGGACUCAGCCAUAUUAUGGGGACUUUCCCACCUUUGGGUGGGGGACCACCCCCAUGUCCCCUCUCUGCUGAAAGCUGUUUUAUCACUCAAUAAAACUCCUGCCUUGAUCACUUUUUGAUUGUCAGU